GGCUCCCCCCUGCCCCGGCCACACACCUUAAAGGUACUGCAGCCACUUUGGGGCACGAAGCGGCACGCCAUGGAAUAGAUCGUCAUCAUUAAUCACCCCAAGACAACCACCUGCUCAGGUGUUCUACAGUGGACGAUUUUUCUCUCCCAAACACAAUAUAUUAGAUUUCACUUGAAGUUCACCAGCUCUGGUGCUGUUCUGCCUUGACAUGAAUGUGAAUGGACAAAGGUGUGAUUCCAGAUGCAGCCAGGGGAUGCUGAGUUGAGGAUGAAAAAAGAGGCUUAUAACUAAAUACAUGGUAUUUCUAUAUAAAUAUAUAUUAUUAUGUAGUAAAAAAUAUUUAAAUUCGGGUAGAAGUACAGAAAGUUGGGCAAAUAGCUCUGUAAAACCCAGGGAAUUAUCACUGGAGCAAAGUACUACCACAGAGCCAUAACUUUCCUUUCUUCCUCAUGCAGAUUUCCCUAUCUCAAGGCAAAGGUGUGGAGAAGCCAGCUUCUGGCUCACAGGUGAAAGCACUGCUCAGGAGACUGUUAUUCCACCCUUAGUAUCUCUUGCAGGCCCUACGGCAGCAUCACCAAGACAACAACCUUUCAAAGGAGGAGCAGUCAGUUCCCCUGGAGAACACAGCAGCAGCCUGACCUGGCAGCUUCUAAGGUCUGCUUGGCUCUAGAUAAGCAUCUGCUUCCCCACACAGCACUUAUCUCCUUUUCCAAGGCUCUCCUCACUGAAGCUAAGAGACUUCAUGACUGAUUUACCUUUUACAACAAACUAGCUGGGAGAACACUUGUCACUUUUCCAAGCUGCUGUGAAGAAAUGCACCAAACAAUCCCAGUGAAAUUUUCCCAGAAGUAUGUUCAGUGCUGUGGAACAGGGAUUUUCCAAAGGAACUUCUGACCUUUAAGUGACAAAGCCUAGCAGUGAAAACACAGCAGUUCUCAAACAGUAAGAGAUUAGAAUACUGAAAAAUCUCAGCUUCUUCCCAUUAUGCCAAGUACCUUUGCAUUUGGUGGAAAGGCCCAGAGUCACAGAGAGCAAAAGCUGCUGUUGCUUUUUGCCAGUUUCUCCUUGCUGAGUGUGUACCCUGAGGAAGGGCUGGAAAUAAACUCUUUCCCUAAUCAUUUCUGUGGAGAACAACAACUCCAAAAACAGUGUCAUGCUGUUUAGUAGCAUCACCACUAUCAAAGAUAUUUAAUUUACUAAUUGAUUGUAUGUAAUUCAGCCCAGAAAUACCUACUUUUCCAGUUAAAGAGAAGGCCCUAGGACUGUGCAGGUAAAAU